GUUUGUAGUUAUCAAAUACGCUUAUAUGUUCUUUAAAAAUGUAUCUCUAUAUAUUGAUUUAUGCGUGCUAAUGUUUCCCAGGAUCUGUCCAGUGCCGUGGAGAAAUUCAAACUCGGUUCUCUGUACCAGGAAGGAAACAAACGGGUCUUACCUAUUUCCGUGCAGAUGAAAUCCCAAUCUAGGCUUUGGGCAUAAGGAGAAAGCGUACACGGUGCUACUGACACGGAUGAAGAGAUUAGUGGUUGAGGCAAGAGACAGUGUUGUGUCCUAUAUAGUUGCUUAGUGCAAGCUGCAGAAAGAAAAAAAAGAAAUGAUAUCCUAUGGUGUGAAGAAGAUAGUGAGAGGUCCGGACCUUUGUUUGCUUACUAAGAUUAAGUAGCAGUCACAUACUUCGUCAAACUGUCCAACAACUCAUUCAUCACCAACUUCAAUUUGAGAGAGUAGCAUUUCAUAACCACGUUUGCAGCUUGCAAAGAGAGGAAGCGAAGAUAGCAGUUUGGAACAAAAUGCACAAGGUUUGGGACACUUGUGAGGAUGAAAGUAGAACCUGCCAUUAGAAAACUCGGUCCUCCUUCACUUAUAUGAAAACUCCCAUAAACCAAUCAAACCAUGAUGAUUGUACUGUUUUUUUCUUUUGCUUGAAUCACAUGUGAAGCUGGAGAAGAAGAAAUGACCAUUACUGGAUAAGAUCUUUUACAAGCUUCAAACAACCAAGUCGAGAGGUCAGGUGGAGUUCAGUAUUCAGUGAUCAUCAACGAGAACAAAAGUUUUGACUAUAGAU